GACGAACGCUGGCGGCGUGCUUAACACAUGCAAGUCGAACGGAAAGGCCCUUUUCGGGGGGUACUCGAGUGGCGCACGGGUGUGUAACACGUGUGUAACCCCCCCUUGUCUUUGGGAUAACUUCUGAAAACUGGGGCUCAUAUCGGAUAGAAGCUCCCGCUGUAUGGGGGGGGGUGGAGAGAGUCGGGGGUUGGGGGGAGGCUCGCGCGGUAUCAGCUUGUUGGGGGGGUAGUGGCGUAUCAAGGGGUUGACGGGUAGACGGCCUGAGAGGGUGACCGGCCACAAUGGGACUUGGGAAAGGCCCAGACUCCUACGGGGGGGAGCAGGGGGGAAUAUUGCACAAUGGGUGGAAGCCUGAUGCAGCAACGCCGGGGGCGGGAUGACGGCCUUCGGGUUGGAAACCGCUUUCGGCCAGGACGAAGCUGUGUGUGACGGUAGUGGGUAAAGAAGCACCGGCUAACUACGUG
rnacentral:rRNA from 1 species